CUGUCUCGCUGCCGCGAUAGGUAGCUGUCAGUUUGCGGUCAUUGCUGGAAAGAAACCAACCCAAUAGUGUUUCUCCUGUUGUCUCCAUUUAGUAUUUUGUGAAAAAGUUAGUGUGAUAUAACGCAAUUGGUGGCACAGGAACAGAGGUGGUGCUGAGGUUACUAUCCCAAAACUGUAUGUGGAUUAAACACUAUUGGAUUUAGAGAGUUGACAACUGAGAAUUUUAUUUGAAUGUUAUAGGCCCGGAUGUUGGAGAGGAAUUGAGGAGAGAAAAGUGGAAGUAAAAAUUUAAUACAUUUUAAUUAAAUCGGCGAUGACAAGAAAUAUACUACAGUGGGACAACGUUAUAUGUGGAUGUUGAGUACCAGUGUGUUAAUCACAAGACAUGUAUAGAUUAGAGGAACACUGAAGAUACCAAGAAGAGUAUUAAUGAAGAUACCAAGAAAAAACAAGGAGGAUCGUUAAGACUUAAACCAGAACUACGAGUGACAAGAGGUUCACUGAGGAGGCCAAGAAAGAGGAGAGAAGACCAAGAAAGAAGAAACUUUCGCCGAAAAUUAAAUAUCAGUUUUUAGGGAAUCUCCCCAGAUACGAAAUAAAAAAAAUUACUGAAGGUCUGUGAACCAGGAUGCACAGCUCGUUUCUUCUACCUCCAACAGUCUUGGUCGGGCAUGCCACAGGGGUUAGAGAUUUAUUUCUGAUGAUAGAAGUUCUCUCGACGUGGUUCGGAAGUCGCAUAAAGCCGUUGGUCCCGUUGAUGAAUAACCACUGGUUCGGGUUCCAUGUACCGUAAAAACACUAUACAAACAAAACGGUUUCCCAUUUUCUGUUUUUCUUCUACCUCCAACUACCUCUAACUGUCUUAGUUAAGUCUCCCAUUUUCUGUAUCUGGUUUCUCGACCAUUUACACAACAGGAUGAUAACCGCUACCAGCCACAGUUUCUGAAAAUAGUAAAAUUGUUACCAACUUGUCAA